AAGAGGGACGACAAGGUGGAUGGAUACAACUUAUUGGAAUUCCUGUAGACGAUUCUGAUGAUCACACACAAUACAAUUUUGUGAUCCUAGAAACUUCUAGAAGAAUCUGUAGUGUUGUUAGAAUUCCAUCCUAAUGAGACUGGAAAUACUUGUUUCUGCAUUGAUACUUGUAAAUUAUAUCUUCCUCUUAGAAGUUAUUAAAAGGUCUCACUAUAUUGAGGUUUUGUGCAAACAUGGACAUCUGUCUUAAUGCAUGCUACAUGACACAAAUGCCCAUUCCUUAUCCAUUUUCUUGUUGUAUUGGGUAAAUUUGGAAACAGCUAAAAGAUCUUUGUGUUUGUUCCAUCCUCUUAUUCACCACUAUGUAAAUACCGUGGGCUGGCAUUUUCUCGUCUUAGAGAAUAAAUGAAAAGUGCCCACUAAUAUCCCUUCAUUUUAGAUUUUUGUCUUUUAGUAGGCACACAAAAUAGUGAGUUUCUUUUUGGCAAUUCAAUACAACGAAGAUCCCCCUCUAAUUGCUUGUUUUAACCUUUUCUUCUUUUCUCUCUUCCAGGUAAGUCCUGCCACUUUAAAUAUCCCCAGACUGUCCUUUAGAAAAGUGGUAAGUUUUUUCCUGUGUUAUGAUUUACAUCGUCCAAGAUAUAAAGACAUUAUCAUGAUUUUUAAUUUACAUUUGAUAUCUGCUAAUUUAUUUUCUUUAAAUUACUAAGAAAAAAAUAUUGGCCAUAAAUUAGGAAGGCAAAUCUGUUUGACUCUUUGAUGAUCCCUGAUGCUUUGAGUUGGCACUGACAGGGCACCACUGGUAUAUACAUGGGAGAAUCUCCCAAGCUCUUUCUUGGCAAUGAACUUUAUGGUCUGGGAUUAAAGUUGGCACAUUGUAGGAAGUUAAAGAACAUUACAUUUCUAAGCAUCCAAUUUUAGAACCCUGAAGAUAAUUCCCGUGAGAAUAAAACCUUGGGAACACACACACACACACAAACACACACACACACACACACACACACACACACACACACACACACACACAUCAAAUGUCCAUUAUAGGGCAAACUUCUCAAAGGAAAUCUAAAAAAAGAGGUAGUGAAAUUUAGAAUUAAAGUUCACAGAACGUGUCUGUUUUGAUUAGCACUUCACAGAAAGAACGAUCACAAAGUUGUCUUCAUCUGCUAGAAUUAGUUUCAGUUCCAUUAAAAGAAGCAUAAUUUAGCUCCAGAUACCUCAGUGUUCAUAACCAGGACAUUGCAAGUUGCAAGGGCUUUUGAUUCAUUUUCCUUAAAAUGAGAGUGUGAAUAACAAGCUGAAAUUAUGACUUCUUCGUAUUGCCAGCUCUUUCAGUGUGUGUCGUUGGUUUCAUUGCUGUGUUGUACAUAAUUAUCCUACUACCAGCUCCGUUCUCAGCUGUUUCUAAAGACCAUUUGAGACACUUUUCCCAUGAGGUUGAACAUUCAUUUUUAUGACACCAAAACAAAAUAACAAGCAGAAGGGAACCAGAAAAAAGGGAGCUUUCAACUCUUAAACUCUUAGCUUGACUAUUAUGUGAAAAAGAAUGAAAAACAGCUCUACAUUAGGUGUCACAAGCCUCCUGCAUUUUGUAGUACUGUAACAGACACCAGUGACUGGAUUCAGAAACGUCACCUGACAGUGGAUAAAUUCUUCUACAUGAAACUACAUGAAAGUAACAUGGCCAACUCCAGAAUAAAUUCACUUAUCUGUUACUUCCUCUAAGUGUCAUGAAUUUUUAAAUUGUUUUCGAUUUACAUCACAAGAGCCAAAGACCUUUUGCAUACCAUCACCGUUGGAAUUUUGUCAUUAACUUGUCUCAAAAGAAAUGCAAUUGACUGACUCACUCACUCAGUCUGCUGCGUGUUUUACUGGUACCCCCCAGAGAGCACGAAGAGUUCACCUAAAUUAACUGAUUAAAUAACGUAUGUGGCCAGAUCUAAGUUUUCAAGAUUGUUAACAUCUAUAAACUGUCACUUGCACUUGCAUGCAAGAUGGGCUAUGGUUCCUGAUAACAUUUCUUCUAUUAGAGUCGUGAUGGUUGUGUCAACAAACCAGCUGCAAGAGCUGCUAAAGCAUUCUGCUGCUCUCAUUUUGCGCUUCACAUCUGCCCUUCUUGGCUUGUUUGUACAUCUCCUCAGAACAGUCCUGACACUUGUACUUUCUGAGGCUCUCGCUGCAUUAAAGGACAAGAGGAAAAGAACUUAGAGGGAAUUCAUGUCAUGGGUGAGAGAGAAUUUCAGAGGCCAGAUGUGGAAGCACACAGCCAUAAUCCCAGCAUUCUAGAGAUGCAAGGAUCAUGUGUCAGAGGCCAACCAUCACAAUCAAACAAAUAAAUGACUCUCUAAAAGAAUAGCUGUCUUCGGAACAUGUAAGGGACAUUAGCCUGAGUGCUCGCGUCCAAUUACUGUAAAUAAUCCCUUGUCCUCUGUUUGAAUUGAGUAAGUAUAGUUUGAAAGAAAUAAUUUUAUUCUAAAAUGAAGGGCAAGUUCAGUAUACUUUUUAACAUCAUGAGGUUUACAGAAUGUAUUACAAAAUGUCUUACGAGGAUAUGCUUUACAAAUAUUUUAGACUCAAUAAUCAGGAUCCUUACUGUUUUAAUUCCAGAUUGUUAAAAGUUUCCAUACGAAAAUUAAAAAAAAAUGUUUUUGAUUCUUAAAAAGUUAAACUGUCACAGAUUAAGGGACAAAACCAAGCAAGUUCUUGAAGAUGUUACAUGACCUCCCUACUGAGCAGCCCCUUAAAAGUCUCAAAGUCUCAUUGGGUGAAAUUAGACACUUUACACAUCGUAUUGGAUCAUCAUUAUCCCAAAUGGAACCAAGCUGCACAGUUCAGUGAGGCCCUUUCAGAGGCAGCAAAGGACUUUCUGAAAGACCAUUAACGGGUUUAAAUCUAGACACAGAGUUUUUCUUUAAUAUUUGCUUUCAGUUUCGAACAGUCACUGUUUCUGUUAGAAUAUGUGCCAAGUAUGCCAAGUAUAAUAUAAGCUUUCGGUUAAAUAGAUUAGCUGCAUAAUAUAUUGUAUUUAUAUGGACAUAAUAAUAUGUAGAAAUAAGUUGAUUAAAAUAUUGCUUUUGGAUAUGUAUAUUUUGAAUAUUGGACUUAUUCCUCCUCAUAUACCCUAGUCUCUUUCUAUCCUCCAUCUUCUCAAAACUAGUCUCCUAUAUCUGCCUAGAAAAUUUUAUUUACACUUUUUUUGCAUAUUUUUACACAAUUUAUGUAUCUAUAUGAAAGGUAGUAAUGGCAAAUGAAAGAAAGCAUGACAUUUUUCUUUCUGUGACCAGCUUAUUUACCUAAUGUGAUCAUCUCUAGUGUUGUCUUCUUUCAAAUGAAUAAUGUGAUAUUCUUCCUUUUAUUAUAACUAUUCUUAUUACUGAAAUUAGAUUGUUUUCUCAUACAAUAUAUCCUGACUGGUGGAGUUUUUUCUUUGAUAGACAUGCAGUGGCCUUCCCUAUCUCUUUUGAUUAGUUUUGUUUUAAAGUAUAUUUUGCUAGAUAUUAAAGUGAUUACACCUGUUUGAUUUUUAGGUGCAUUUACUUGGAAUAUGUUUUUCCAACCCUUUAAUUUGAGGUAAUGUCUAUCCUCAGAGGUGUGUUUCUUGAAUGUAGCAGAAGUAUGAAUCUUAUUUUUGCCUCUAUUCUGUUAUCUGUAUAUUUGUUUUUAUUGGAGAAUUGAGAUCGUUGGUAUUGAGAGAUCUUAAUAAACAACUACUGUUAUUUUGGUGGUGGUGGUGGUGGUAUUAGGGGUAAUGUGUGUACAUGUUCACACAUGUUUCUCCUCUUUUGAUUUUGCUUGUGUGGAAUUAUUUAUUUCCUGAGUUUUGAUGUGCCUAUCUAACCUCCUUAGACUGGAAUUCUCCCUAGCAUUUUCUAUAGGUUUAUAUAUGUAGAUAAAUAUUGUUUAAACUAGACUCUAUAAUGAAAUAUCUUAUUUUCUUCAUUCAUGUUGAUUCAAAGCUUUGCAGGGUGUAGAAGUCUGGGAUAUCAUCUGUGGAUGCUUAGAGCCUGUAGCAUAUCUAUACAGGCCCUUAUGGCUUUUUGACUCUCUAUUGAGAAGUCCUUUGCAGCUUUUAGUAUUUUUUGGUUGUUUUAUUUGUUUAUUAUUUUGAUUAUUAUGUGGCAAGGUUACUUUCUUUUCUCAUCUAGUCUACUUGAUGUUGUUUUACUUCUUAGACUUUUAUGGGUAUCUUGUUCUUUAGGUUAGGAAAAUUUUCUUCUAUGAUUCUGUUGAAAAUAUUUUCUGGGCCUUUGAGCUGGAAUUGCUCUCCUUCUCCAAUUUCUAUUAAUAUUAGGUUGUUCUUUUCAUAGUGUCCCAGAUUUCCUGUACAUUUGGUGUCAAGAGGUUUUUGAAUUUAACAUCUUCUUUAAAUAAUGUAUCUGUUUCUUUCUAACUUAUCUUCGGCACCUGAGAUCAUCUCUUCUAUCUUUUAUAUUCUGUUGGUGAAGGGUUCCUCUUUUAUUCCUGAUUAAACUUAUAAAUUGUUCAUUUUCAGAUUUCCUUCACUUUGUUUCCUUUUUAUUCUUUUUCCUCUUAAUUACUUAAUUUUCAUUAUGUCCUGAUUGCAGCGUACACUCUCUUACCUUCUCUCAGUUCUUCCCUCUCACGUCUCCCGCUUCAUUUGUUCCCCCCUUUUCCUCAAAAAGGUUGAAGCCUCCCCUAGAAUUUUUUUCUAUUUUGAUUCUAUUUCUAUUUUUUUUUUUUUCAUACACACAAUGGAGUUUUAUUCAGCCUCAAAGAAGACAUAAAGGUUUUAGUAGCUCUCUGUUUUCUGGCACCAUCCUUUCCCAUUUUUUUUUUUUUUUUUUUUUUUUUUUUUCCAUUUUUUAUUAGGUAUUUUGCUCAUUUACAUUUG
rnacentral:lncRNA from 1 species